CACUCCUACGGGAAGGCAGCAGUGGGGAAUAUUGCACAAUGGGCGCAAGCCUGAUGCAGCCAUGCCGCGUGUAUGAAGAAGGCCUUCGGGUUGUAAAGUACUUUCAGCAGUGAGGAAGGUGGGUAUGUUAAUAGCAUAUUCAUUUGACGUUAGCUGCAGAAGAAGCACCGGCUAACUCCGUGCCAGCAGCCGCGGUAAUACGGAGGGUGCGAGCGUUAAUCGGGAUUACUGGGCGUAAAGCGCAUGCAGGUGGUUUGUUAAGUCAGAUGUGAAAGCCCGGGGCUCAACCUCGGAAUUGCAUUUGAAACUGGCAAACUAGAGUACUGUAGAGGGGGUAGAAUUUCAGGUGUAGCGGUGAAAUGCGUAGAGAUCUGAAGGAAUACCGGUGGCGAAGGCGGCCCCCUGGACAGAUACUGACACUCAGAUGCGAAAGCGUGGGGAGCAAACAGGAUUAGAUACCCUGGUAG
rnacentral:rRNA from 1 species